CUCUCAGUCCGAGCCACCAUACAACCUCAUUUUAUGCUACUGCAGAUUCAGUGUCUGAAGAACACUCCUAAGAACACACUGACUUCAGGAAUGCUACCAUUUCCAUGAAAAAUGGCCGAUGUUAGCAAGCUGGAGGAUAAGAUACCAUGGGGAGGAGAAGCAAGGUGCCCCUGUUGACAGCCCCAGAAGCAGAAGCUCAUCCCCAGAAGCACAGCUGCCUAUUCAACAAACAGCUGAAGAUACAUGUCUGGAGGAGCUCAGCUGAGACAAAAAGAACAGCCUCACUGAGCCCAGCCUAAAUAGCUGACCAUCUCAAUUAUGGGCAAAUAAGUUUUGAAUGAUUUGUUAUGCUGCAAUAGCUAAUUAAUACAUGCACCCAGUGCAGACAGGAUGCCAGGAUUCAUUGACAAGUUGAUUACUAGUUCUCUUCUAACAGUGGGCACCCUAUAGGUACUGAUUUUUCCCCCUGAUUUGAAGUUGGAUGCCAAGUAAGAGAAUGCUGAGUAAUGCAGAAAUAUAUAUGGAUAUGUAUGCAUGUAAUUGGUGCCUAUACUCACACAGUCCCCCAUACCACAGGAGAAAACAGAUAACCACGGCCUGACAUUAGGGCCAAGGACAAAUAGAAAAGUAAGUUUGCCUUUAAUCUGUUUUCUUCAUAUCUAAACAUUGGAGGUCAAGACUGUGCACAGGUUUGAAGACAUAGAGAUUUCUUCUCCUGUGGCCUUAUCAUCCUUUGUUCACCUUCUGAUCUCUGGAAGAAAGGUGGAAAAUGGGUGGCCAGCAGUGGUCUACCUGUGGUUGUUUUUUUCUUGCUGUCCUCUGAUUUUUCUAUGGCUACUAUCUGUUCCUCCCUCAGAGCUGAAGAGAAAUGUUGGUAGGGAAAGGCUCUUUUUUCAGCUUUGGCAGAAAAGUUUUUUCAGGCCCUUCGCUCCCGAGGUCAGAGCUGCACUUCAAUGUGGCAGCUACUGGCCAUGUGUGGCGACUGAGUGCCUGGAAUGUGGCUGGUCUAAACUGUGAUAUGCUGGAAAGGUAAAAUACAGAGUUAGUUUCAAAGAUGAAGUUCCAAAAAAUAUCUACACUUCAUUUAUAAUUUACAUUUUGCUUACAUAUUAAAAUGAUAAUAUUUUGGAUAUACUGGUUUAAUUAAAUUGCUACAAU
rnacentral:lncRNA from 1 species